UUUGAUCCUGGCUCAGAACGAACGCUGGCGGCAGGCUUAACACAUGCAAGUCGAGCGCCCCGCAAGGGGAGCGGCAGACGGGUGAGUAACGCGUGGGAACGUACCCUUUUCUACGGAAUAACCCAGGGAAACUUGGACUAAUACCGUAUGUGCCCUUCGGGGGAAAGAUUUAUCGGAAAAGGAUCGGCCCGCGUUGGAUUAGCUAGUUGGUGGGGUAAAGGCCUACCAAGGCGACGAUCCAUAGCUGGUCUGAGAGGAUGAUCAGCCACAUUGGGACUGAGACACGGCCCAAACUCCUACGGGAGGCAGCAGUGGGGAAUAUUGGACAAUGGGCGCAAGCCUGAUCCAGCCAUGCCGCGUGAGUGAUGAAGGCCCUAGGGUUGUAAAGCUCUUUCACCGGUGAAGAUAAUGACGGUAACCGGAGAAGAAGCCCCGG
rnacentral:rRNA from 1 species